GACGAACGCUGGCGGCGUGCUUAACACAUGCAAGUCGAACGGAAAGGCCCUGCUUUUGUGGGGUGCUCGAGUGGCGAACGGGUGAGUAACACGUGAGUAACCUGCCCUUGACUUUGGGAUAACUUCAGGAAACUGGGGCUAAUACCGGAUAGGAGCUCCUGCUGCAUGGUGGGGGUUGGAAAGUUUCGGCGGUUGGGGAUGGACUCGCGGCUUAUCAGCUUGUUGGUGGGGUAGUGGCUUACCAAGGCUUUGACGGGUAGCCGGCCUGAGAGGGUGAUCGGCCACAUUGGGACUGAGAUACGGCCCAGACUCCUACGGGAGGCAGCAGUGGGGAAUAUUGCACAAUGGGCGGAAGCCUGAUGCAGCAACGCCGCGUGCGGGAUGACGGCCUUCGAGUUGUAAACCGCUUUCGCCUGUGACGAAGCGUGAGUGACGGUAAUGGGUAAAGAAGCACCGGCUAACUACGUG
rnacentral:rRNA from 1 species